rnacentral:lncRNA from 12 species
UUUCUAACUGCUGUGGUAUUUCUGCCUUCAAAGGGUAUUAUUUAUCAGUCUCCUCAGCUCUUCCACUUUCUUAUUCCUCCUUAUUGGUACUUGCUCUUUCAUCACGCUGGAAUCCAUCACUUAGUCCCACCGGCCACUUGGCUGUCUAUGAGCCUUACUCCUCUUAGUAUUCCUACUAAGUUCCUUCUACUCUGACUACAGGUCCUUCAAUUUUCCCUGCUGGCCCUUGUUUGAGCUACUUUGCCCUGCACUGACUCCACACUUCAUUAGCUCCUGCUAUCUGUGGCAAAGCUUAACCUCCUGGCUUCUCUCCUGCUUUCAGCCUCUCUCAUCCUCUGGUUUUUUCUUUGUCUGUUCCAGUUUUCCCUUAGCUGUCUCAUAUCUUUGUCUCUAUUGUUCUACACUCUACACCAUCUGUUGUGCUGCUGCCUGCAUGACUCAUCCUGAAAACAAUAAAAGUCCUACUGCAUUCCCAAUCAUUACACUACGGAGCCAAGGAAGGCACGCCAAAUCUACGUCUACAGCAGUCAAGCCUGGGUCCUCACGGAAUUCAGCUCCAAUCCCCUGUUAAGCUGUUGGUUCCCCACUGGAUGGCAGUCUCUGCAAUGUUAUUCGUUCUGGGAAGGAAGAGUCCAGCUUUAAAGCAGUGAACCGAAAUCUCAGACUGCUUUGCAGAUGAAUAUGUGCACGAAAUGUUACAGCUGUGAGUAGAUUUGCAUUCUUUUUUUUUUUCUUGUUGCUACAGUAUAGG